AGGGUUCGAGUUCUGGCUCAGGACGAACGCUGGCGGCGUGCUUCAUACAUGCAAGUCGAACGAUAAGGUCUCUUCGGAGAUACAUAAGUGGCGGACGGGUGAGUAAAAUGUAGAGAAUCUGCCCUAGAGAGUGGGACAACAGAGGGAAACUUCUGCUAAUACCGCAUAUGAGCGUAGCUGAGAUGCUAUUCUUGAAAACUCCGGUGCUCUAGGAUGAGUCUGCAUCUGAUUAGCUAGUUGGGGGUGUAAUGGACCACCAAGGCGACGAUCAGUAGCUGGUUUGAGAGGAUGAUCAGCCACAAUGGGACUGAGACACGGCCCAUACUCCUACGGGAGGCAGCAGUAGGGAAUUUUGCGCAAUGGGGGGAACCCUGACGCAAGCAACGCCGCGUGACCGAUGAAGCCCUUCGGGGUGUAAAGGUCUGUCAGUGGGGACGAAGAAUGACGGUACCCACAGAGGAAGCAUCGGCUAACUCCGUGCCAGCCGCAGC
rnacentral:rRNA from 1 species